rnacentral:rRNA from 1 species
ACGUAGGGACCAAGCGUUGUUCGGAUUUACUGGGCGUAAAGGGCGCGUAGGCGGCAUGACAAGUCACUUGUGAAAUCUCUGGGCUUAACCCAGAACGGCCAAGUGAUACUGUCGCGCUAGAGUGCAGAAGGGGCAAUCGGAAUUCUUGGUGUAGCGGUGAAAUGCGUAGAUAUCAAGAGGAACACCUGAGGUGAAGACGGGUUGCUGGGCUGACACUGACGCUGAGGCGCGAAAGCCAGGGGAGCAAACGGGAUUAGAUACCCCGGUAGUCCUGGCCCUAAACGAUGAAUACUUGGUGUCUGGAGUCUAUAUGCUCCGGGUGCCGUCGCUAACGUUUUUAGUAUUCCGCCUGGGGAGUACGCUCGCAAGAGUG